rnacentral:rRNA from 1 species
GAUGAACGCUGGCGGCGUGCCUAAUACAUGCAAGUCGAGCGAACAGACGAGGAGCUUGCUCCUCUGACGUUAGCGGCGGACGGGUGAGUAACACGUGGAUAACCUACCUAUAAGACUGGGAGGACUUCGGGAAACCGGAGCUAAUACCGGAUAACAUGUUGAACCGCAUGGUUCAACAGUGAUAGACGGUCUGGGUGUCACUUAUAGAUGGAUCCGCGCCGCAUUAGCUAGUUGGUAAGGUAACGGCUUACCAAGGCAACGAUGCGUAGCCGACCUGAGAGGGUGAUCGGCCACACUGGAACUGAGACACGGUCCAGACUCCUACGGGAGGCAGCAGUAGGGAAUCUUCGGCAAUGGGCGAAAGCCUGACGGAGCAACGCCGCGUGAGUGAAGAAGGUCUUCGGAUCGUAAAACUCUGUUAUUAGGGAAGAACAAAUGUGUAAGUAACUAUGCACGUCUUGACGGUACCUAAUCAGAAAGCCACGGCUAACUACGUG